GGCAUUUAAAUUUUGGGUGUAAGCGAGGGAGAGGCUAAAUAGCUUUUUUCUUUAAAAGCCUAGUAAUAGGUAACUUUAGGAGGGGCUUGCGCCAUUUUAGUUAGUUGGUAGGGUAAUGGCCUACCAAGACGAUGAUGUGUAGCUGGACUGAGAGGUUGAACAGCCACAUUGGGACUGAGACACGGCCCAAACUCCUACGGGAGGCAGCAGUAGGGAAUUUUCGGCAAUGGAGGAAACUCUGACCGAGCAACGCCGCGUGAACGACGAAGUACUUUGGUAUGUAAAGUUCUUUUAUCAAGGAAGAAAAGCAAGUGGUGAACCAUUUGUUUGCCGGUACUUGAUGAAUAAGCCCCGGCUAAUUAUGUGCCAGCAGCCGCGGUAAGACAUAAGGGGCAAGUGUUAUCCGGAAUUAUUGGGCGUAAAGGGUGCGUAGGCGGUCUAGUAAGUCAGUGGUGUAAUGGCAACGCUCAACGUUGUCCGGCUAUUGAAACUGCUAAACUUGAGUUAGAUAGAGGCGAGUGGAAUUCCAUGUGUAGCGGUAAAAUGCGUAAAUAUAUGGAGGAACACCAGAGGCGUAGGCGGCUCGCUGGGUCUUAACUGACGCUGAGGCACGAAAGCGUGGGGAGCAAACAGGAUUAGAUACCCUGGUAGUCCACGCCGUAAACGAUGAGUACUAAGUGUCGGGUUAAACCGGUACUGAAGUUAACACAUUAAGUACUCCGCCUGAGUAGUACGUACGCAAGUAUGAAACUUAAAGGAAUUGACGGGACUCCGCACAAGCGGUGGAUCAUGUUGUUUAAUUCGAAGAUACCCGAAAAACCUUACCAGGUCUUGACAUGUUUUUGCGAAACGGUAGUAAUAUCGUGGAGGUUAUCAGAAACACAGGUGGUGCAUGGUUGUCGUCAGCUCGUGUCGUGAGAUGUUAGGUUAAGUCCUAAAACGAGCGAAACCCUUAUCGUUAGUUGCCAGCACGUUAUGGUGGGGACUUUAACGAGACUGCCAGUGAUAAAUUGGAGGAAGGUGAGGAUCACGUCAAAUCAGCAUGCCCCUUAUGACCUGGGCUACAAACGUGAUACAAUGGCUGUUACAAAGGGUAGCUGAAACGCAAGUUCUUGGCCAAUCCCCAAAAACAGUCUCAGUCCGGAUUGAAGUCUGCAACUCGACUUCAUGAAGUUGGAAUCGCUAGUAAUCGCGAAUCUGCAGUCGCGGAAACUCGUGCUUU
rnacentral:sRNA from 1 species